rnacentral:rRNA from 1 species
UACGUAGGGUGCGAGCGUUGUCCGGAAUUAUUGGGCGUAAAGAGCUUGUAGGCGGUCUGUCGCGCUGCUGUGAAAACCCGAGGCUCAACCUCGGGCCUGCAGUCGAUACGGGCGGACUGGAGUUCGGCAGGGGAGACUGGAAUCCUGGUGUAGCGGUGAAAUGCGCAGAUAUCAGGAAGAACACCCGUGGCGAAGCGGCUCUCUGGGACGGUACUGACGCUGAGACGCGAAAGCGUGGGGAGCGAACGGG